GUUGGCCAACUUGGAGUUCUUGGUCGGGUGGAUGGUUCGUUUGUUCAGCUGUUUUUAGCCUUACCGCUCGCGGGGAGAUUUAUUAUGUAAUGUGAGCUGUUCUGGCCGCGUUGGUCGCUUUUGAAGGGUUCGGGAACCCAAAAUGAGGUAUUAGAUAUAAUUGCAGUACUAUUCUAAUGGCUGGGAUUGAUGCUCCAAGCUGAUAGAGAACUCAUUUCGGCCAAAACUGUUCGUUUGGCCAAUAGAGCAUGGCGGAGAAGAGAGGAAUCCGCUGUUGCAAUGCUCUAAAAAACAUAUAUUUUUACUACUAUAGAUCCCUUCAGGAAAAUCCAAGGAAAAUUGUUUGCUUUUCUCUAAUGGCUAAAAUUGGAAGUUUUGAGGCAGUUUUCAACGAAAAUUUUAACUAUUUCCCAACCGAUUAAAAAACGCAAUACCAUUUAUGAAUCAGGGUUCUAAUCCCCUCCAAACUGCAUCAAAAUAUCGUAAAAGUCGCCAAAUAAAAUUUUUGACCCAUUUUUGGCCAAAA